CAGAAUCCCGCCUAGACGUAACGAUACCAUAGCGCCGCGGAUCUUCGGUUGGCCCCGGAUAACCGGCUUCGGUCGGUGAGUAGAGCCGUUCGUGACAGGGCUGGGGUGCGGCCGGAUGAUGGUCGCCCCUCUCCUAUCUCGCACCGCAUGUUUGUGGAGAACCUGGUGCUAAAUCACUUGCAGACGACCUGAUUCUGGGUCAGGGUUUCGUACGUAGCAGAGCAGCUCCCUCGNUGCGAUCU
rnacentral:rRNA from 1 species